CCUCCCAAAGUGCUGGGAUUACAUUCAUGAGCCACCACACCUGGCUGGGAGUUAAGUAUUUUGCCAUCUUUUAUCUUUCAGAAAUUGGGUUAGUAACAGUGAAGAGACAUUUCUCACCUGCCUUGAAAUGCCCUUGAUUAUCUUCUUCAAGUUGCAAGGGCUCUGGAAUAGCCCUUGCAGUGCUCCCGUAAAGGGAGCCUUGAGAGGAGCCUGAAUCACUGAUGGAAUUGGACAGUGCAUGGAGAUGGUUGAGCAGGACGAGGUGCUCAAAGCUCAUCCCUGUGUGAUCUGAAGUAAGCCACAUACCUUGGUGAACCUGCAGUUUCAUCAUUUUUAUAGUGAAGAAAUCUGACAGAUUUUCCUUCUGCCACAGAAUGUCAGGCCUCCCAGACCCCAGAACAUGUAUAUACCUAAAGCCUUUGAUGUAUGUCAAAGCCGUAUGCUUACGGUGUUGCUGGAGGACGAUGGGGGCUGUAGAGAGGCACGCUUUCCAAUGGGAUUGAUCCAGUCCUCCUUGCUUCACUUCCACAUGAAUGCUGGGCAGCCCAGGGUCACACCCAUUGCACCCU